CUUCUGAGGCCUCACAUGACUGGGUGUGAGCCUGGCCCCCUGCUUUCAGCCCUGACCGACAAAGAGGCACCUGGCCAGACAGAGGCUGAGGGAGGGGCCAGGUCUGCAUAUUCCUUCCUGAGACAUUGUCACAUCCUCUGAAGUCAUUUGCAUGAUGUUUCAAACCCUGCACUGUGGCUCAUUUUCCUUUGGACACCAUGAGGCUCCAGUUCUGGACAUCAUGGGACCAACCCAGGCCCAGACAUGAAACAGGGAGCUGGGAUCUGUAUACAGGAAACACAGGGGACAGAAGAACAGAACUUCUCCUUGGAACAUGUCUGAUGGCAACACCUUCCUCCAGGCUGCAGGGAGGCUUCUAACCCCCCUGUGUGAAAUUUCAGCCCCCUUACCCGACCCCCAGCACUCCCUAUUCCCCGUUCCUGGUUUUGUUU